rnacentral:lncRNA from 1 species
CUCAAUGUAAGACCUUUGCAACCAAUAUGUUAGCUCUUUCUCCCUGAAUUUGCUGACUAAUGUUGCUUUUCCUUUUCCGGAAGCUAACUGACAGCUCAGUCUUAGGCAAUAUUAUAUUGCUUUCUGUCACGAUCCCAACUUUCCCUCCGUAGGAUAUCGUGACUGCACCUAGUUUCUAAGAUUAGGUAAGCCUAGUGACAUGCAGAAUAAUCAAAUAACAAUUUAAAAACUCUCAAAAUAUCCAUUAAUCAAUACAUAAUAAAAUUCCCAAAACCUGGUGAAAAUACAAGUCACAAGCUUUUAGAAGGAGUCCCAAAAUAGCUCUAAAUAUCAGAGUCUAAUAAAGAUAAAGAAACAAGAUAGUAAAGAUAGAGGGGGACUCCUAGGUCUGCGGACGCUGGCAGAUAUACCUUGAAGUCUCCACGCACAGCUAGCUCACGGGUACCUGGUUUGAUAAUAAGUACCUAGAUCUGCACAAAAAAAUGCACAGAAGUGUAGUAUGAGCACAUCACGGUGGUGCCCAGUAAGUGCCAAGCCUAACCUCGGUUGAGUAGUGACGAGGUCAAGUCAGGGCCCUACUGGAAUGUAAUAAAAGACUGGGCAAGAAGUUUAACAAUAUAAUAGCAGUAAUGACAAAUGGAAACAUGUCACAUAAAAAUUAUGUCAAAAUUUAACAACACAGAAUAAGAGCAAUUAGUAAUAACUUACUGAAGGGAAAACUUCAAUUCAAUAAAUAAAGAGUCAUAAAAUAACUGGAAAGUAAAUGCAGUCAUAAAGAAAUGUCAACAGGGGCACUCUCGAGGUACCGCCUCGUAGUCCCAAAUCAUAAAUAAAUUCACAAUAUCUCAUUUCCUUAUAUCACCGCGGGAGCCUUCACAUUUAAUUUUAAAGAAAAUAUUUUUCCCAAAAUAGCAUCCCGCGUUUUAGCCACCCUUAUCUCACCGCAUGACUUCUAGUAGUUCCCCUACUAGCCACGCGUAUCAAGCCAUCCUUAUCUCAAAGCAUGCGUUUCAACACCCAGACCUUAUACCACCGCAUGCGUAUCAAUAUCACAAUAUAUCACAAUCUGCACCUCAAGUGCUCAAAUAUUUCAACUUGCCAAAAUAAAUCAACAACAACAAUAUUUUCCACAAUAAAAAGCUCACUGCUCAAUCUCGAUGGGUGUAAAAUCUCAAUAACUAAUAUUUCAUAAUUUAUCACCUUGAGUCCAUACCAAUUUUUACCAUGCCAAAUACUUCAUAUUAAAAAUUAUUAAAUUAAAAAAAAAAUACAACCUUCAAAUAAUGAGCACAAAUAAAAGAAACAAGUUUCAAUUUAACAGAUAGGAAAUUAGCAAGAAAAGGUCAGACGAAUUUCAAGGAUAUGAAAAUAAUUCAAUGACAAUGAAUAUAACAUGAGUAAAUGAUUUAAUUAAUAUGCAAAAGUGAUCUACACAAUUUAAAAGUAUAACCUUCCACAUUUAGUCCGUGUACACACUCGUCACCUCAUGUACAUGACUUUCAAUACAUUGCAAUUAGCACAUUAAUACCAAUCCUAAGGGAAAGUCCCCCACACAAGGUUAGACAAGUCACUUACCUCGACUUGCUCCAAUUUAAUCCACUAGUAGGCUUUUUCCUCGAUUAUUCAAUUCUGAAUGGCUCGAAUCUAGCCAAAAUAAUAACAACAACAACAACCAGAAAAAUAAUAAUUACAAAACUAGUUCAUGGAAGCAAAUGUGAAACAGAUCCGAAUGCAAGAUGGAAGAACAAUCAGUUGCUAGAGCAAUACCAAAAAAAAUCAUAUAAAUGUGCCAAGAAAAGGAACUAUUGUAAACUAAAGAAACAAAAAUAUCUUGGAUGAGAUCCGGAUGAAACAUAAAAAGAAAGUUCCAAAUGUUUUGGCCAAAAGCACAACAACAAUCAAAGAAAGGUAAUCAAAAAAGAAAAACUAAAAAAAAGUUUUGAGUAAUCUACAUGGUACUAUAAAGUCCUGCAGUAAAAGAAAACUACUCAACCAUAAGACAACCAAAUGAAGCAAUGAGUAAAACCCAUUUCACAUAUCAAGAUUUAAAUCUAACAUCUUUAAUCAAAAAAAAAAAAAUUUUAAAAAAAAAACUACCAUAAAACAAAGAUCAAAACUUUACUAGACUAAACCCGAAUUAAAGCUACUUACUUUAAUCAAAUACUAAACUGCCACAAAAUAAAGAUCAAAACUUUAACAGAUAAACCAAAUUAAAAAAAAAGUAUAAGUACCUCAAAUAAGUCCAAAAAUGAAGAAAAGGAGAAUUCGCAAUCUGGAGUUGAUAAGGUCUUUCAAUAAAUAGUGAUUGCAUAUAAAUAUAUAAAUUUAAUGAAUGAACUCACCUACCCAAUGUGGACCUUUAUGGAUGGAGAGAAACAAACUUUCGGUGACAUGAUCUAAUUUUCUUCUGUAAACACUGUGGUUUACAUCUUGCAGUCAAAGUACGACUGCUCUUUAUUUAUUUAUUUAUAAGAUUCCAAGAAUAUUGCCCUAUGAAAUAAAUUCCGAUUGGCCUCAAAUUUUGCACACAAGUCAUAAAUGACAUAAUGAAGCUAUGAAAAUUUUCAGAACUAGAUUCUGAUCCCGAUAUCAAAAAGUUAACUCCUCGGUCAAACUUCCAAACUUAAAUUUCUUAUUUUCGCCAUUACAAGCCUAAUUUAGCUACGGACCUCAAAAUAAUUAUUCGGACACACUCCUAAGCCCGAAAUUACCAUACAGAGCUAUUAGAAUCAUCAAAAUUUCAUUCUGGGGUCGUUUACACAUAUUUCACCUUCCGGUCAAAUUAUUCAACUUAAGCUCCCUUCUUGGAGACUAAGUGUCUUAAUUCAUUUCAAAACCUCACCGAACCCAAACCAAUUACCAUUGCAAGUCACAUAACAACUGUAAAGCAUGAAUUUAGCAAUAAUUGGGGAAACGGGAUUGUACUAUUCAAAACGACUGGUCGGGUCGUUACAUUCUCUCCCUCUUAAACAAACGUUCGUCUUCGAACGAGUUUAGAAAAAUACCCGGAGUCUCAAAUAGGUGUGGAUAUUUGCUCCGCAUAUCCCGUUCAGUCUCCCAAGUAGCUUCUCCGAUUGGCUGGCCUCUCCACAUCACUUUCACUGAAGCUAUGUUCUUUGACCUCAACUUUCGAACCUGCCCAUCUACAAUUGCCACUGGCUCUACAUCAUAAGCCAAAUUACCCUCCAACUGAACUGUACUGAAAUCCAAAAUAUGGGACGGAUCCCCAAUAUAUUUUCUAAGCAUAGAAACAUGAAAUACUGGAUGUACACCCGAUAGGUUAGGUGGCAAAGCAAGUUCAUAAGCCACCUCCCCGAUCCUUUUAAGUAUUUCAAAAGGUCCAAUAUAUCUAGGACUCAACUUUCCUUUCUUCCUGAAUCUCAUAACACCUUUCAUAGGUGAAAUCUUCAGUAAGACCUUCUCACCAAUUAUGUAAGACACAUCACGGACCUUCUGUCGGCAUAACUUUUCUGUCUAGACUGCGACGUGCGAAGCCGUUCCUGAAUCAACUUGGCCUUGUUCAAGGUAUCCUGAACCAAAUCAGUACCCAAUAGCCUAGCCUCACCUGGCUCGAACCAACCCACAGGAGACCGACACUGUCUACCAUAUAAAGUUUCAUACAGAGCCAUUUGAAUGCUCGAUUGGUAACUGUUAUUAUAAGAAAACUCCGCUAGCGGUAGGAACUGAUCCCAAGAACCCCCAAGAUCAAUGACACAAGCACGUAGCAUAUCCUCUAAUAUUUGAAUAGUGCGCUCGGACUGUCCGUCCGUCUGAGGGUGAAAUGCUGUACUAAGCUGUACCUGUGUGCCUAGCUCUCGCUGCACUACUCUCCAAAACUAUAAUGUAAAUUGUGUGCCCCUAUCAGAAAUAAUGGACUCUGGCACACCAUGAAGAUGAACAAUCUCGUGGAUAUAAAUCUCUGCUAACCGCUCCGCAGAGUAAGUCGUCACCACUGGAAUGAAAUGAGCUGACUUGGUCAAUCUGUCUACAAUCACCCAAACUGCAUCAAACUUUUUCUGAGUCCGUGGAAGCCCAACAACGAAAUCCAUAGUAAUCUGCUCCCAUUUCCACUCUGGAAUCUCUAGCUUCUGAAGCAAUCCACUUGGCCGUUGGUGCUCAUACUUCACCUGUUGACAAUUUAGGCACCGAGCUACAUACUCUACUAUGUCCUUCUUCAUUCUCCUCCACUAAUAGUGCUGCUUCAAAUCCUGAUACAUCUUUACAGCACCCGGAUGAAUGGAAUACCGCGAACUGUGAGCUUCUUGGAGAAUCACCUCACACAAACUAUCUACGUUAGGAACACACAACCGACCAUGCAUACUCAGUACCCCAUCAUCCCCAAGAGUUACAUCACUGACAUCACCGUGCUGAACCGUGUCCUUCAGGACAAGUAAAUGAGGAUCAUCAUACUGGCGUUCCUUGAUGCGGUCAUAUAAGGAGGACUGAGAAACCACACAUGCCAGGACCCGAUUGGGCUCCGAGACAUCCAAUUUGACGAACUGGUUGGCUAAAGCCUGAACCUCCAAUGCUAAUGGCCUCUCUGCUACCGGUAAAUGUGCUAGACUACCCAAACUUUCCGCCUUCCGACUCAAAGCAUCGGCCACCACAUUGGCCUUCUCCGGGUGAUACAAUAUGGAAAUAUCAUAAUCCUUAAGUAAUUCUAACCACCUUCGUUGUCGCAAAUUAAGGUCCUUCUGCUUGAACAAAUGUUGUAAAUUCCGAUGGUCGGUAUAAACCUCACAAUGGACACCGUACAAAUAAUGCCGCCAAAUUUUCAAGGCAUGAACAAUAGCUGGCAAUUCAAGGUCGUGCACAGGAUAAUUCUUCUCAUGUACCUUCAGCUAUCUGGACGCGUAGGCAAUCACCCUACCGUCUUGCAUUAACACUGUGCCGAGACCAAUACGCGACGCAUCACAACAUACAGUAUAAGACCUUGUACCUGUAGGCAACACCAACACCAGAGCAGUAGUUAAAGCUGUCUUGAGCUUCUGGAAGCUUUCCUCACAUUCCUCGGACCACCUGAACGGAGCACCCUUCUGGGUCAAUCGGGUUAUAGGUGUAGCAAUAGAAGAGAAACCUUGUACAAAUCGGCGAUAAUAUCCUGCCAAGCCGAGAAAACUCUGGAUCUCCGUAGCUGAGGAUGGUCUGGGCCAACUCUGAACUGCCUCGAUCUUCUUCGGAUAUACCUGAAUCCCCUCCCUGGACACUAUGUGCCCCAAGAAUGCCACCGAACUACGCCAGAACUCACACUUAGAGAAUUUUGCAUAAAGUUUCUCCUCCCUCAGUCUCUGCAAUACAAUACCCAAGUGUUGUGCAUGUUCCUCCUGGCCACGUGAGUAUACCAGGAUAUCAUCAAUAAAUACUACGACAAGUAAAUCAAGAUAUGGGCGAAAUACACUGUUCAUCAAGUGCAUAAAUGCUGCUGGGGCGUUAGUUAGCCCAAAAGACAUCACAAGAAAUUCAUAGUGACCAUAUCGAGUCCUGAAUGCUGUCUGCAAAAUAUCGGAAUCCCGAAUUUUCAAUUGGUGAUACCCAGACCGCAAAUCAAUUUUUGAGAAUACCUUGGCACCCUGCAACUGAUCAAAUAGGUCAUCAAUACGAGGUAAUGGGUACCUGUUCUUCACUGUAACCUCGUUCAGCUGGCGAUAAUCGAUACACAUACGCAUGGAGCCAUCUUUCUUCUUUACAAACUAGGCUGGGACACCCUAAGGUGAUACACUGGGCCGAAUGAAACCCUUAUCAAGCAACUCCUGUAGCUGCUCCUUUAGUUCUUUCAAUUCUGCCGGGGCCGUCCGAUAUGGUGGAAUAGAGAUGGGCUGAGUGCCCGGUAACAAAUCAAUGCCAAAAUCAAUAUCCCUAUCGGGUGGCAUACCCGGAAGAUCAGUUGGAAAUACAUCUGGAAAAUCCCUGACUACUGGAACUGACUCUACGGUAUGACUAUCAACAUUGACAUCUCUCACAAGGGCUAGAUAAGCAUUGCGCCCUUUUUCAACCAUACGCCGGGCCUUUAGAAAGGAAAUAACAUUGCUAGGAACAAAAUUUAAAACACCUCUCCAUAAUAUAUGUGGUAUACCGGGUAUAGCCAGCGUCACAGUUUUUGCGUGACAAUCGAGAAUAGCAUGAUGGGGAGACAACCAGUCUAUGCCCAAAAUAAUAUCAAAAUCUACCAUAUUGAGCAAUAAUAGAUCGGCUCUGGUCUCAAAAUCAUUAAUAAUAAUUAAACACGACCAAUACACACGGUCAACAAUAAUAGAAUCUCUCACGGGUGUAGAUACAUGCACAGGAUAACUCAGAGAAUCACGAAACACUCCAAAUAUGGGGCAAAAUAAGAAGACACGUAAGAAUAGGUGGAGCCUGGAUCAAACAAGGCUGAAGCCUCUCUAUAACAAACCGAAAUUAUACCUGUGAUGACUGAGUCAGAUGCAAAUGCCUCAGUCCUAGCUGGAAGAGCAUAAUGUCUGGCCUGACCUCCCCUUCUAGGGCGACCUCUACUUGCCCGACCUCCACCUCGAGCUGGCUGUGCAGGUGGAGUGGCAACUGGUGCAGCAACCAUAGCCUGAGAAACUCGAGGGCCUUGUGGAGCAGGUGGAGCCUGAGAAAUCUGUGGAGGUGCACCCCUCCUGAGUCUGGGGCAAUCCCUCACAAUAUGACGAGUGUCACCACACUCAAAACAAGCCCUCGGAGGACGCGACUGCUGAGACUGGCUCGGGCCUGUUCGGCUAGACUGACUGCUAAAAGCAUCACGUGCAGGAGGUACACUGGAUAAUGGCGGUGCAUAAUAAGGAGCCGAAGGUCUGGGAGUAGGCGGAAUGUCACUGGCAGCUGGAAGUGCAGAAUGAAUAGGACGGCUCACAUAGCCUCUACCAUGACGGGCUGUAGCUGGGGCACAAGAAUUAUUAUAGGUGCCAGAAUCUUGAGGCCUCUUAGCCUCUCUCUCUUCCCUAUCCCGGAUCCGCAUACCCUCUAAUCUCCUGGAUAUUGCCACUACCUGCUGAUAUGUGAUGUCCGUUUCCAGUUCUCGGGCCAUACUGUAUUUGAUGUUAGGGUUGAGCCCCUUAAUAAAUCGACGAACCCUCUCUCUGACAGUAGCAACCAAGGCUGGUGCAUGCCUGGAUAAAUCACUGAACCGGACUGCAUACUCCGAGACAGUCAUAGAACCCUGGCGCAACUACUCAAACUCCGCGCGCCAUGCAUCUCUAAGACUCUGGGGAACAUACUCCCUCAAGAACAUAUCCGAGAACUGAGUCCAAGUGAGUGAAGCUGCUUCGGCAGGACUAUCCAACUCAUAUGCCAGCCACCACUGAUAAGCUGCUCCCCUAAGCUGAAAUGCAGUGAAAGAAACCCCACUAGUUUCCGCAAUACCCAUGGUACGGAGGAUACGGUGGCACUCCUCAAGAAAUCCCUGGGCAUCUUCUGACGCCAAGCCACUGAAAGUAGGAGGGUGGUAUCUCUUGUACCUCUCGAGCCUGAGUUGCUCCCCUUCAGAAACUGCUCCUCUAGUCUCAGCCUGUACCGGGACGACUGGCUGUACGGGUAUGACCCCUGGUACAUGAUCAACCUGGACCCGUGGCUCUGGGGUACGCGUGACGGGAGUAUGUGCUCCUCCCCCGGCCUGUGAUGUGGCAGGAGCAAGUGGAAUCAAUCCUGCCUGAGCUAGAGUGUUAAACAUGCUCAGAAAUUGAGCAAGAGUCUCCCGAAGUGCAGGGGCAGUAACAGGCGUCUCAGGUGCCUGCUCUCCAACUGGAACUAUUGGUGGUUCCUCUACAACAGCUCGUGCAGGUGCUCUGGCUGCACCACGUGGUCUCCCUCGGCCUCUGCUCCAGCCUCUUGAGGCUAUAGAAGGGGGUGUGGGUGUCUGAUCAUCAGAUCCAGUCGUACGUGUCUCACAGAUUGUCGUACGUGUCCUCACCAUCUGUGAGAGAAUAGAAAGGCUAAGUUUAAUAAUUCGAAGUCAACAAAUACGCACGAUAAGGAAUCAAAUAAGUGAUAAUUUCCUAACAGUUCUACAGCCUCCCGAAGAUAAGUACAGACGUCUCCAUACCGAUUCGCGAGACUCUACUAAACCUACUUGUGACUCAUAAUACCUAUGAACCUAGGGCUCUGAUACCAACUUGUCACGAUCCCAACUUUUCCUCCGUAGGAUAUCGUGACUGCACCUAGUCUCUAAGACUAGGUAAGCCUAGUGACAUGCGGAAUAAUCAAAUAACAAUUUAAAAAUUCUCAAAAUAUCCAUUAAUCAGUACAUAAUAAAAUUCCCAAAACCUGGUGAAAAUACAAGUCACAAGCUUUUAGAAGGAGUCCUAAAAUAGCUCUAAAUGUCAGAGUCUAAUAAAGAUAAAGAAACAAGAUAGUAAAGAUAGAGGGAGACUCCUAGGUCUGCAGACGCUGGCAGAUAUACCUUGAAGUCUCCAAGCACAGCUAGCUCACGGGUACCUGGUCUGAUAAGAAGUACCUGAAUCUGCACAAAAAAAUACGCAGAAGUGUAGUAUGAGCACACCACGGCGGUGCCCAAUAAGUGCCAAGCCUAACCUCGGUUGAGUAGUGACGAGGUCAAGUCAGGGCCCUACUGGAAUGUAAUAAAAGACAGGGCAAGAAGUUUAACAAUAUAAUAGCAGUAAUGACAAAUGGAAACAUGUCACAUAAAGAUUAUGUCAAAAUUUAACAACACAGAAUAAGAGCAAUUAGUAAUAACUUACUGAAGGGAAAACUUCAAUUCAAUAAAUAAAGAGUCAUAAAAUAACUGGAAAGUAAAUGCAGUCAUAAAGAAAUAUCAACAGGUGCACUCCCGAGGUACCGCCUCAUAGUCCCAAAUCAUAAAUAAAUUCACAAUAUCUCAUUUCCUUAUAUCACCGCGGGAGCCUUCACAUUUAAUUUUAAAGAAAAUAUUUUUCCCAAAAUAGCAUCCCGCGUUUUAGCCACCCUUAUUUCACCGCAUGACUUCUAGUAGUUCCCCUACUAGCCACGCGUAUCAAGCCAUCCUUAUCUCAAAGCAUGCGUUUCAACACCCAGACCUUAUACCACCGCAUGCGUAUCAUUAUCACAAUAUAUCACAAUCUGUACCUCAAGUGCUCAAAUAUUUCAACUUGCCAAAAUAAAUCAACAACAACAAUAUUUUCCACAAUAAAAAACUCACUGCUCAAUCUCGAUGGGUGUAAAAUCUCAACAACUAAUAUUUCACAAUUUAUCACCUUGAUUCCAUACCAAUAUUUACCAUGCCAAAUACUUCAUAUUAAAAAAAAAACACAACCUUCAAAUAAUGAGCACAAAUAAAAGAAACAAGUUUCAAUUUAACAGAUAGGAAAUUAGCAAGAAAAGGUCAGACGAAUUUCAAUGAUAUGAAAAUAAUUCAAUGACAAAAUAUAACAGGAGUAAAUGAUUUAAUUAAUAUGCAAAAGUGAUCUACACAAUUUAAAAGUAUAACCUUCCACAUUUAGUCCGUGUACACACUCGUCACCUCAUGUACAUGACUUUCAAUACAUUGCAAUUAGCACAUUAAUACCAAUCCUAAGGGAAAGUACCCCACGCAAGGUUAGACAAGUCACUUACCUCGACUUGCUCCAAUUUAAUCCACUAGUAGGCCUUUUCCUCGAUUAUUCAAUUCUGAAUUGCUCGAAUCUUGCCAAAAUAAUAACAACAACAACAACCAGAAAAACAAUAAUUACAAAACUAGUUCAUGGAAGCAAAUGUGAAACAAAUCCGAAUGCAAGAUGGAAGAACAAUCAGUUGUCAGAGCAAUACCAAAAAAAAAAUCAUAAAAAGGUGCCAAGAAAAGGAACUAUUGUAAACUAAAGAAACAAAAAUAUCUUGGAUGAGAUCUGGAUGAAACAUAAAAAGAAAGUUCCAAACGUUUUGGCCAAAAGCACAACAACAAUCAAAGAAAGGUAAUCAGAAAAGAAAAACUAAAAAAAAGUUUUGAGUAAUCUACAUGGUACUAUAAAAUCCUGCAGUAAAAGAAAACUACUCAACCAUAAGACAACCAAAUGAAGCAACGAGUAAAACCCAUUUCACAUAUCAAGAUUUAAAUCUAACAUCUUUAAUAAUAAAUAAAUAAAUAAAUAAACUACCAUAAAACAAAGAUCAAAACUUUACUAGACUAAACCCGAAUUAAAGCUACUUACUUUAAUCAAAUACUAAACUGCCACAAAAUAAUGAUCAAAACUUUACUAGACUAAACCCGAAUUAAAGCUACUUACUUUAAUCAAAUACUAAACUGCCAUAAGAUAAAGAUCAAAACUUUAACAGAUAAACCAAAUUAAAAAAAAAAAGUAUAAGU